rnacentral:rRNA from 1 species
CAAUAGCGUAUAUUUAAGUUGUUGCAGUUAAAAAGCUCGUAGUUGGAUUUCGGGUGGGACGCAGCGGUCUCGCAUUGCGUUUGUACUGCUGCAGCCCUCCUUCUUGCCGGGGGCGGCCUCUCGGACUUCACUGUCUGGGGGUCAGAAUCGGCGAUGUUACUUUGAGUAAAUUAGAGUGUUCAAAGCAAGCUUACGCUCUGAAUCUAAUAGCAUGGGAUAACACGACAGGACUCUGGCCUAUCGUGUUGGUCUAUAGGACCAGAGUAAUGAUUAAGAGGGACAGUCGGGGGCAUUCGUAUUCCGUUGUCAGAGGUGAAAUUCUUGGAUUUACGGAAGACGAACAUCUGCGAAAGCAUUUGCCAAGGAUGUUUNCAUUGA